ACUGUAGGAGAGUGGAUCAAACAAAAAUUUGACAUUUAAUUUUAUAUUGAAUUGAUGAGUAUGCUGUCUUUGUAUUUUUUAAUAGAUCUCAGAAAUGACAGAAGAAAUGAAAAUCAUCACAUCAGAGAGAGACCAGCUGGCUGAGGAGAAAUCAGGAAGUAAUAGCUGUAGAGAAAGUGAUCAGCUUCAGGUGCAAAAGGAACAAAUAAUAUUACUUACACAAGAGAACCAUUCAUUGCAGGAGAAGCUGGACAGUUUACUUUUGAAAAAAGAGGAGCUUGGGGAAGGAACUUUGAUACCACAGAUUCAAGGACAAUCUAUGGAGCAAGAGUUAUUUCUUCUGAGAGAAGAGCUGAGCCAGGCACAACGGAAAUUGCAUGAAAUGGAGGAAGCAAGGACCAGUGACUAUCAAGGGGAAUCUGAAAAAAUGGAGAGACCAGAUGUUACUCCAAAACCACAUGACUCCCAGGAAGUCAGCACCCAGACAGAAAGAGAUGAUGAUAAGGAAUUUAAAAUGCAACUGGAAAAUCUCCAGAAUGAGAGAGACCAGCUUAAAGAAACUCUACAGGAGACAAUUAGCAAGGUAAUAAAAGUAGUUCUCCUCCCAUAGGAGAACAGCUUUUGUAGACUUCCUAGCUUUUGCAAGUGUUGUUCAGGUGUUAAUGUACUUUAAUUGUGUCCAAAGAACUCGGAGAUGCAGGAGGAGUUGAGAUGUACUCAUGAAUCUCUUGGACAACAUCAGGAGAAGAUUGUGGAGCUGCAAGGAAGUAUUUCAGAGAAAGAAAAUCAGCUCUUGAAGGUGCAAGGGGCAUUGAAAGAAACAACUGAUGAACUGCAGCAGAAGGUCAGAAGCAGUUUUGUCAAGAAAAUUACAAGUUCUGCUGGGUUUGGCAGCCCAUGUCCACUGCAUACUUCCUUUUCUAGGGCUCAAGUACAUCUAAUAAGGAAACCUAUUAUUUAUAACUAAAUAUGUCUUGAUGCUGAAAGACUGAAUAUUAUUUCAAGCCAAUAAUGCACUUUAACCUCUCUCCAAUUUCCCAGUGAUCAUUUUAUUCAUUCC
rnacentral:lncRNA from 1 species